rnacentral:rRNA from 1 species
AUGAACGCUAGCUACAGGCUUAACACAUGCAAGUCGAGGGGCAGCAUGAAGUUUGCUUGCAAACUUGAUGGCGACCGGCGCACGGGUGAGUAACGCGUAUCCAACCUUCCCCGUAGUAGGGCACAGCCCGGCGAAAGUCGGAUUAAUUCCCUAUGCUCUUCACAGAUGACAUCAGAAGUGACGCAAAGAUUUAUCGCUAUGGGAUGGGGAUGCGUCUGAUUAGGUUGCAGGCGGGGUAACGGCCCACCUGGCCUACGAUCAGUAGGGGUUCUGAGAGGAAGGUCCCCCCACAUUGGAACUGAGACACGGUCCAAACUCCUACGGGAGGCAGCAGUGAGGAAUAUUGGUCAAUGGAGGCAACUCUGAACCAGCCAAGUAGCGUGCAGGAUGACGGCCCCCUAUGGGUUGUAAACUGCUUUUAUGAGGGGAUAACCUGCGCCACGUGUGGCGCACUGCAUGUACCUCAUGAAUAAGGACCGGCUAAUUCCGUGCCAGCCGCUGC